AAGAGCAAAUGAACGAGAGAUAGAACUCAAAGAAUGGGUUCUUUGAGAGACAAGAUGAUAAUCAACAAAUAUAAACAACCUAGUUCCUAUACCACAAGCUCCAAGGUAGUCAAGAAGGAUUUAUAAACCGUCUCAGUUGAAUGGUUUGAACUUUAUGACUAUGUCAUAGAGUUGCACCUCUUAAUUCGAAGAAAUAAGAAUUGAAAUCCUUAUGACUACAUUGAGCAUAUAUAUGAUAUAUACUCAAGGAAAUGGUAAAGUACCAUUUGACCCGAAAUAAUGAAACCUUCAUAAGCUAAUUGGUAGCUUAAGGUAACUACAAUAAAAAAGAAUGGUUGACUUUGAAGAACCAUCUUUGACGUAGUCUUGGUUUCAAUUAAUUCGAGGAUAGCUAGCUACAACUAAAUGGUGAUUCAAUGUUUGGACAUAAUAUGGGUUUCCAAAACCAUUAUUAAGAUGGUAUUAAUAAUAUAUGUCUAAAACUAUGAAUCACAAGACAUAUAAGUUGUAGAGAUCCAUCCAUCAUGAAUCUAAGAAAGCUAGU
rnacentral:lncRNA from 1 species